UGUCAUUCAUAGACAGAUUAAAAGCAGUAAUAAAGCAUGAACCUUGUUGUUAUGACAGGCUGCUAAAUGUAACUUUAUUUUGUACUCUCUCUCUCUCUCUCUCUCUCUCUCUCUCUCUCUCUCUCUCUCAGCCUAUAUAACUGUGGGGGAGAGGCAACAAAUAGUUGAAAUGUCAACUCGAACUGGAGGACACAAAAAUGUGUGAUACAAUAACAAUGUCAUAACUUAGCAUAACUGCUAAGAACUGAGUGCUGACUACAUUACUGAAUAUGGUUUUGCUUUUAAAUUAUUUUCUUAAAAGCUUUCUGUCCACCCUGCUCUGCUUGGAGACAGAGUUAUGAUGUUAUGCUACAAUCGUAGCACUUCGUGGGUGUGGCCUUCUAGAGAUGUGAUUCCUCUUGUGUAAAGUUCAGCACAUACAGCACUAUUAUAAAGACUCCUCACUGAGCUGUGUUCAGAAAUGGAUCAACUACACAACUUACUGUACAUAGUGAGAUACAUACCCCUGAUUCUCACUGUAGCAACAGGCAGUUUUGCAAAUAAAAUCUGGCCAACGGACAAAAAUGCCAUCCUUGUCGGGAAAGAAACGGACACUGUUACUCUGAAAUGUUCAUAUGAGUCAAGCAGCAGUGUUUGGCUUUAUUGGUACAAACAACAUCCCAACAGUGCACCGCAGUUUUUAGUAUAUGUAGGUGGCAAUCCCACUGACGCUCGAUUUCAGGCAACAUCAUCCAGUGACUCUACUGAACUUACUAUCAGAGGUCUAAAGCUCUCAGAUUCUGCACUUUAUCACUGUGCUCUUAGUAGAGUAGCACAUUAAUUCAGAGUCAAUUAAAGGCUGUACAAAAACUUAAAAAUGGUACCUAUGAAGUUUCUAAAACCACAGAAGAUCACUUUAAAAACUUAUCAGUUAACCUCAGACACAAACAACUUGUGGUAACAUGUGCAGCUGAAAGAAACAGAAAAAAAUAGGGUUCAACCAUUGAUACAUCAGUCACACUAAAUUCACAAAUUGUAUUUAUACUCAAAAAUAUAUUUCAAUGACAAUACUAAAGCCAUUUUGUCAGGUGUAUAUGGUGUGGAAUUAAAGUAAUUAAUUUUUUUUGCCGGUUUUCCCAGCAGUAACUUCCGGUUCCGGUUGACAGGGUACGCUGGCACGUUUUGCUGCCGCUGCUGUCACCGUUUUGUUUGUUUUCGUUUGUUUAUUUAAGUCAUAUUGUUUUAAAUAACAGUGAGUUAUUUAAGUUAUAUUGUUUUCAGUGCCCCUGUGAUUGCAAUGUGGUGGUGUCCUUUUAUAUACUUUGGACUGUUGUUUUUACCUCUGUGUUCCACCUGGAAUAACCUGCAGCGUGCAACGGGGAAUCAACGCCUCGGUCCAACUGCGUUUGUGGAUUGUACGACUUUGUGCUCACAGUGCGCUUUGAGUGAGUGUGCAC